rnacentral:rRNA from 1 species
AGUGAACGCUGGCGGUAGGCCUAACACAUGCAAGUCGAACGGCAGCACAGUAAGAGCUUGCUCUUACGGGUGGCGAGUGGCGGACGAGUGAGGAAUACAUCGGAAUCUACUUUUUCGUGGGGGAUAACGUAGGGAAACUUACGCUAAUACCGCAUACGGCCUACGGGUGAAAGCAGGGGAUCUUCGGACCUUGCGCGAUUGAAUGAGCCGAUGUCGGAUUAGCUAGUUGGCGGGGUAAAGGCCCACCAAGGCGACGAUCCGUAGCUGGUCUGAGAGGAUGAUCAGCCACACUGGAACUGAGACACGGUCCAGACUCCUACGGGAGGCAGCAGUGGGGAAUAUUGGACAAUGGGCGCAAGCCUGAUCCAGCCAUACCGCGUGGGUGAAGAAGGCCUUCGGGUUGUAAAGCCCUUUUGUUGGGAAAGAAAAGCAGCAGGUUAAUACCCCGCUGUUCUGACGGUACCCAAAGAAUAAGCACCGGCUAACUUCGUG